CUGAGCACUCGUGAGAGAAGAGCCUUGGUCAGAAGAACCCAAAGAUCACUGUGGCUGAGCUCCAGAGAUGCAGAAGGGAGAUGGAAGAAAGUUCCACAAAGUCAACUAUCACUACAGCCCUCCACCAGUCGGGGCUUUAUGGCAGAGUGGCUCGACGGAAACCUCUCCUCAGUGCAAGACAUAUGAAAGCCCGCAUAGAUUUUUAGACCAAAAUG